UCACAGGAACGGUAUGGCCAAAAAAAGAAACUCGAAGUCGGUUCCUGCUCCUGUAAUGUAUUUAUAAGAGCAGCAGCAUUCUCCUGGUCUACGGCACUGAAGCGAUCUUUCCUCAAUACGGGAGCUGUCGUUGGUUGCAAUGCUCUCGCUUAGCUUGACAAGUGCCUUGCUUUUGGCUUCUCUUCGUGCUGUUGCACUGAGGGAAGGAUCCACCUGCAGGACAGUAUGUACAUCUCGUCCCAGUCAGA